AAUAAUAGAAGAUGCUACGAACAAAAGCAC
rnacentral:sRNA from 1 species